GAUCCUGGCUCGAGGACGAACGCUGGCGGCGUGCCUAACACAUGCAAGUCGAACGGAGCUCAUUUGGAUUUUGUCUUCGGAUGAUUGAAGCUUGAGCUUAGUGGCGAACGGGUGAGUAACGCGUGAGCAACCUGCCUCGGAGUGGGGGACAACAGUUGGAAACGACUGCUAAUACCGCAUAAUAUACCGCUUGGGCAUCCUGGUGGUAUCAAAGCUUUAUGUGCUCUGAGAUGGGCUCGCGUCUGAUUAGCUGGUUGGUGGGGUAACGGCCUACCAAGGCGACGAUCAGUAGCCGGACUGAGAGGUUGAUCGGCCACAUUGGGACUGAGAUACGGCCCAGACUCCUACGGGAGGCAGCAGUGGGGAAUAUUGGGCAAUGGGGGAAACCCUGACCCAGCAACGCCGCGUGAGGGAAGAAGGCCUUCGGGUUGUAAACCUCUUUUACCAGGGAAGAAGAAAGUGACGGUACCUGGAGAAAAAGCUCCGGCUAACUACGUGCC
rnacentral:rRNA from 1 species